GAUGAACGCUGGCUACAGGCUUAACACAUGCAAGUCGAGGGGAAACGACGGGGAAGCUUGCUUCCCCGGGCGUCGACCGGCGCACGGGUGAGUAACGCGUAUCCAACCUGCCUCUGACUGAGGGAUAACCCGUCGAAAGUCGGCCUAAUACCUCAUGGCAUCGUCUGCGGGCAUCCAACGACGAUUAAAGAUUUCAUCGGUCAGGGAUGGGGAUGCGUCUGAUUAGCUGGUUGGCGGGGUAACGGCCCACCAAGGCUACGAUCAGUAGGGGUUCUGAGAGGAAGGUCCCCCACAUUGGAACUGAGACACGGUCCAAACUCCUACGGGAGGCAGCAGUGAGGAAUAUUGGUCAAUGGGCGAGAGCCUGAACUAGCCAAGUAGCGUGCAGGAUGACGGCCCUAUGGGUUGUAAACUGCUUUUAUGCGGGGAUAAAGUGCAGGACGUGUCCUUCAUUGCAGGUACCGCAUGAAUAAGGACCGGCUAAUUCCGUGCCAGCAGCCGCGGUAAUACGGAAGGUCCGGGCGUUAUCCGGAUUUAUUGGGUUUAAAGGGAGCGUAGGCCGUGGAUUAAGCGUGUUGUGAAAUGCAGGUGCUCAACGUCUGCACUGCAGCGCGAACUGGUCCACUUGAGUGUGCACAACGCAGGCGGAAUUCGUCGUGUAGCGGUGAAAUGCUUAGAUAUGACGAAGAACUCCGAUUGCGAAGGCAGCUUGCGGGAGCACAACUGACGCUGAAGCUCGAAAGUGCGGGUAUCGAACAGG
rnacentral:rRNA from 1 species